UUUCCGGUUGAUCCUGCCGGAAGUCACUGCUAUUGGGAUUCGGCUAAGCCAUGCAAGCGGAGGGCGCGGUCGAAAGAUCGUGGCCCCGCACACUGCUCAGUAACACGUAGUCAACCUACCCUUGGGACGGGGACAACCUCGGGAAACUGAGGCUAAUCCCCGAUAGGUGAGGGACGCUGGGAUGCCUCCUCGCCCAAAGCUCCGGCGCCCAAGGAUGGGACUGCGGCCUAUCAGGCUGUUGGUGGUGUAACGGACCACCAAACCUACGACGGGUACGGGCGAUGGGAGUCGGAGCCCGGAGAUGGGGACUGAGACAAGGCCCCAGGCCCUACGGGGCGCAGCAGGCGCGAAAACUCCGCAAUGCGCGCAAGCGUGACGGGGGGAUCCCAAGUGCCGUUGGUCUUAUGAUCGACGGUUUUUAGGAAGUCUAAGAAGCUUCCAGAAUAAGGGCUGGGCAAGACUGGUGCCAGCCGCCGCGGUAACACCAGCAGCCCAAGUGGUGACCACGAUUAUUGGGCCUAAAGCGCUCGUAGCCGGAUCAGCAAGUCCCUUGUGAAAUCGGGCCGCCCAACGGUUCGGCGUGCAAGGGAUACUGUUGGUCUUGAGGCCGGGAGAGGUCGGAGGUACUCCUGGGGUAGCGGUGAAAUGCUCUAAUCCUAGGGGGACCACCAGUGGCGAAGGCGUCUGACCAGAACGGACCUGACGGUGAGGGGCGAAGGCUAGGGGAGCGAACGG
rnacentral:rRNA from 1 species